UUNCNAGAUAGCCANGCAUGUCUAGUACAUGCCGUAUUAAGGCGAAACCGCGAAUGGCUCAUUAAAUCAGUUAUGGUUCCUUGGAUCGUACCUUACUACUUGGAUAACUGUGGUAAUUCUAGAGCUAAUACAUGCAGCAGAGCUCCGACCUUCGGGGACGAGCGCUUUUAUUAGACCAAAACCAAUCGGACUCCGUCCGUCUCUCGUGGUGACUCUGAAUAACUUUGGGCUGAUCGCACGGGCCCGUCCCGGCGACGUAUCUUUCAAGUGUCUGCCUUAUCAACUUUCGAUGGUAGGUUACGCGCCUACCAUGGUCGUAACGGGUAACGGGGAAUCAGGGUUCGAUUCCGGAGAGGGAGCCUGAGAAACGGCUACCACAUCCAAGGAAGGCAGCAGGCGCGCAAAUUACCCACUCCCAGAACGGGGAGGUAGUGACGAAAAAUAACAAUACGGGACUCUUUUGAGACCCCGUAAUUGGAAUGAGUACACUCUAAAUCCUUUAACGAGGAUCCAUUGGAGGGCAAGUCUGGUGCCAGCCGCCGCGGUAACUCCAGCUCCAAUAGCGUAUAUUAAAGUUGUUGCGGUUAAAAAGCUCGUAGUUGGAUCUCAGUUCCAGACAGGUGGUCCGCCUAACGGUGGUUACUGCCUGUUCUGAACAGCCAGCCGGUUUCUCUUGAUGAUCUUCACCGGUUGUCUUGGGUGACCGGCAAGUUUACUUUGAAAAAAUUAGAGUGCUCAAAGCAGGCACGACGCCUGAAUAAUGGUGCAUGGAAUAAUGGAAUAGGACCUCGGUUCUAUUUUGUUGGUUUCCGGAACACGAGGUAUGAUUAAAAGGACAGACGGGGGCAUUCGUAUUGCGACGCUAGAGGUGAAUUCUUGGACCGUCGCAGACNACUAUGCAGNUUUUUUU
rnacentral:rRNA from 1 species